CCUACGGGGGGCUGCAGUGGGGAAUAUUGGACAAUGGGGGGAACCCUGAUCCAGCCAUGCCGCGUGUGUGAAGAAGGCCCUCGGGUUGUAAAGCACUUUCAGUGAGGAAGAACGCCUGGUGGUUAAUACCCAUCAGGAAAGACAUCACUCACAGAAGAAGCACCGGCUAACUCCGUGCCAGCAGCCGCGGUAAUACGGAGGGUGCGAGCGUUAAUCGGAAUUACUGGGCGUAAAGCGCGCGUAGGUGGCUUGAUAAGCCGGUUGUGAAAGCCCCGGGCUCAACCUGGGAACGGCAUCCGGAACUGUCAGGCUAGAGUGCAGGAGAGGAAGGUAGAAUUCCCGGUGUAGCGGUGAAAUGCGUAGAGAUCGGGAGGAAUACCAGUGGCGAAGGCGGCCUUCUGGACUGACACUGACACUGAGGUGCGAAAGCGUGGGUAGCAAACAGGAUUAGAUACCCUAGUAGUC
rnacentral:rRNA from 1 species